rnacentral:rRNA from 1 species
GACGAACCGUGCGAACGUUGUUCGGAAUCACUGGGCUUAAAGGGCGCGUAGGCGGGCUGCCGCGUCCGGGGUGAAAUCCUCCCGCUCAACGGGAGAACGGCCUCGGAUACGGGCGGCCUCGAGGGGGGUAGGGCAUCUGGAACUGUGGGUGGAAGCGGUGAAAUGCGUUGAUAUCCACGGGAACUCCGGUGGCGAAGGCGAGGUGCUGGACCCCAUCUGACGCUGAGGCGACGAAAGCCAGGGAGCGAACGGG